rnacentral:rRNA from 1 species
GAAACCGAUCCUCACACCUGACACGUCGCGCACCGGAGGCACUCGCCCGUUUAUAGGGCACGGUGGCGGCUAUUAUGGCUCGGGGCGGCUCCCGUUAAAACAGUAAAGUGCACAGGCCGGGGCCAACCGACCUCUCACCUACCCCCACUCCCACGGACAGAGGGAAGGAGGGCUAGGAGUGAGGCGGUUAGGGGAGAGAAGGAGGACAGCGGGGGUACCGCGGCGGCGGGGACGGAGGAGUGGAGGGCACCGGGCGGGAGGGGCAGCGCAGAGAAGAGAGGUAGCGGUCAGCGCCUUCGGCGACGCGAGGAGAAGGAGGGAUCGACGUGGUGCGCCCUCCCGUUCUUCAACUGGGCUCCAGUGGGCGGAGGUUAGGCUGCACGCUCCGUGGGUCUCCGAGGGAGGUCAGUUUAGGCAGGCGGAGGGUGCGGCCGUAGUAGGUCGUGCUCAAAUGGAGCAGCAGCAAGAGGAGGUUCGCAGGGCACGCUCUGCUCGGCCGGUCUAGGUGGCGUAGGUAGGGACGAGCAGCCGUUGUCCACCCCUAGGCGGAGCAGGUCGGGUUGUGCCCCUCCCGGCCCUGCCCUCGCCGCUGCCGCUCCACAGAGAGCGAGAGUGGGCAAGAAGACGAACGCGUAGAAUAGGGGCAGGAGUGCGACGGCGGAGACAGGGACAGCGGGUAAGAGAUCUCCGCCGCCGACCGCGACCGCAGGUGCUGGAGUGGUUUCGUUCCUUCCUUCCUCCUCGUCCGAGGUCGCGGCCCACGGAUUCUAGCCGUGUGGAGGAGGGCUAGCUGGGUCUGGUCGCGGUACCGUUGUUCGAACGGGGGGAUGGGGCUGGAACUUGAACUCGCCGGUUAUGGUGGUACUGAACCGCCGUAUCGACCACCUUGGCCGCAGGUAUUCGCUCGGUAGCAGGUCUACCGACGGCGCGAAGGCGAGUCGUCAGGCGGAGAUCCAAAGAGCCGUUCCGCUGCCACACGCUUGGUACACGCGGACGGAUCGACAUAACGCAGAGCGCCUACGCCGCCUACACCGUGUACUCGUCUACUUUCUCCUUAUUGACUUCGGGGUUACGGAGGUGUGUAAGAACGAGGGACUGUUACCCUCAUGAUCCAACGUUUGAGGAAAGGGAAGGGAAUAUAAAUGUUAUACUACUACUGAUAUACUACUAUCACAACAAUAUUUCCACUCUACGGUGGUGUUACAAAGUCUCCGAGUGUAGACAGUCAUGAGUAAUCUAUCUUGAACACAACGUCAAAAAGAAUACACGAAGAGAUUUAAGAGACAACCGGUAGCAGAUAGAGAGGACGUAUCGAUCGGGCCACGGUACAGUCUUCGAUUUGGUUUUGAAAAUUCUACGAACACAUCGUUUUACGCAAACCUCUACGAGUAAAUAGAAAGUCAAUGAGACAUAUUUCACAGUAUAAGAUAAACCAAAACCAAUGACCACUACAGAUUAAGAGGUACGAAGAAUUGUUACUACCGAUACGGGUUGGACGAGUAUAAUUAGUUGUUAUUGUCGAGUCAACAUAGGUCAUAAAGGAUAAGUAACCAAUAUUGUUAACUGAACACACAUCCUAAGCAGGUCAUAUAUAAGACCCUAUUUGUUACCAAACCGCUACGAUAAUCAAGUACUUUUCAAACUCCUAAAAACUAUAAUAAAAUAACAAUUGCUCAGUACGGUCAUUCGAAAUACAUAAACAAGCGGCACCCCUCGUUACCCCGUAACGUGUGAAUGGAUACAUGAGGGAGGCAUUUCUUUAUAUUCUCGUACAUCUAGUGAUUUCAUCACUAGAUUUACGAGAAUAUAAAGAAAUGUCUCCCACAUAUAACGAUGGACCAAUACAACCAGAAAGCAUAUGUCCGGAACGAUAGUAAUACAUACCAGGAAGAACGGAUUACACAUAAUACUUACCAUAAAGUUGGACACCUUACAUAAGGAUUAGAACCAGAUAUCUUGACGGAAAGACUUAAACUACAGAGUCAACAUGAGCUUGUUCUCGCGUGCCUCCCUCGAGAAGAUGCGGUGGGGCCGCUGUCCUUGUUCCUUUUAGGUCAGCUACCACGGUGGUUACUUGUUCCGUGUCUCGUACUCCACAAACGUGGUUAACGAAAGAAGCGUGGUGCCGGUACCGAAACUAGCAGCUACCUGCAGUGGUUAGUGGAUAAGAUUGAGACCGUUCAUGGGCUACUAUAUACUACGGUGGCCGAGAACACUACAUGGUACAUUUGUUGGCACACUAGAGGGAGAAGAAAACACUUGUGCCGGACCGCGCAGAUAGGUAGGAAAACAUGAGUUAUAGAUGGAACAUACUUGUAACGUACCUACCUGUAACGUAGGAAGUUAAAUAGUACAUACUUGUAAACGUAGGAAAUAUUACACAAAUGAUAGAAAGACCAGC